rnacentral:rRNA from 1 species
GAUCAUGGCUCAGAGCGAACGCUGGCGGCAGGCUUAACACAUGCAAGUCGAGCGGGCGUAGCAAUACGUCAGCGGCAGACGGGUGAGUAACGCGUGGGAACGUACCUUUGGUUCGGAACAACACAGGGAAACUUGUGCUAAUACCGGAUAAGCCCUUACGGGGAAAGAUUUAUCGCCGAAAGAUCGGCCCGCGUCUGAUUAGCUAGUUGGUAGGGUAAUGGCCUACCAAGGCGACGAUCAGUAGCUGGUCUGAGAGGAUGAUCAGCCACAUUGGGACUGAGACACGGCCCAAACUCCUACGGGAGGCAGCAGUGGGGAAUAUUGGACAAUGGGGGCAACCCUGAUCCAGCCAUGCCGCGUGAGUGAUGAAGGCCCUAGGGUUGUAAAGCUCUUUUGUGCGGGAAGAUAAUGACGGUACCGCAAGAAUAAGCCCCGGCUAACUUCGUG